rnacentral:rRNA from 1 species
GUGCCAGCCGGCGCGGUAAUACCGGCAGCUCAAGUGAUGUCCCAUGUUAUUGGGCCUAAAGUGUCCGUAGCUGGCCGCGCAAGUCCGUCGGGAGAUCCACCUGCCCAACAGGUGGGCGUCCGGCGGAAACUGUGUGGCUUGGAACCGGAAGGCUCAGAGAGUACGUCCGGGGUAGGAGUGAAAUCCCGUAAUCCCGGACGGACUACCGAUGGCGAAAGCACUCUGAGAAGACGGCUUCGACAGUGAGGGACGAAAGCCAGGGUCUCCAACCGGAUUAGAUACCCUAGUAGUCC